rnacentral:rRNA from 1 species
GAUGAACGCUGACAGAAUGCUUAACACAUGCAAGUCGACUUGAAUGUGGGUUUUUAACUUCGGUUUGGGUGGCGGACGGGUGAGUAACGCGUAAAGAACUUGCCUCACAGCUAGGGACAACAUUUGGAAACGAAUGCUAAUACCUAAUAUUAUGAUAAUAGGGCAUCCUAUAAUUAUGAAAGCUAUAAGCGCUGUGAGAGAGCUUUGCGUCCCAUUAGCUAGUUGGAGAGGUAACGGCUCACCAAGGCGAUGAUGGGUAGCCGGCCUGAGAGGGUGAUCGGCCACAAGGGGACUGAGGCACGGCCCUUACUCCUACGGGAGGCAGCAGUGGGGAAUAUUGGACAAUGGACCGAGAGUCUGAUCCAGCAAUUCUGUGUGCACGAUGAAGUUUUUCGGAAUGUAAAGUGCUUUCAGUUGGGAAGAAACAAAUGACGGUACCAACAGAAGAAGAGACGGCUAAAUACGUG